AUCUGGUGGCCUUUCUGGCAACCUCCAUGGUUCAGAAGGGUGACGUGGGCUUGGCCAGCAGCUUGGGUGGGCUUGAGCUGCAGCUGGGGCAUUCUCAGGUCCAGCAAUCCUACAUGUGGCCAGCUCCUGGUUGCUUUGUAGGUUGAGAAAAGUUCCGGAUGGUGCCGAUGUCCACUAACAUGUUGCCUAAUGUGAAAAGAAGACAACAAAAUCUAUGGGAGAAAGAUUGGAAGCUUCUGGAAAUGAGCAUGAUCAUUUAUGACCAAGAAGAAGUAUAGAAAAGCACAUUUCUGUAGGACACUAGAGACAUGGUGCUUAAUCAGCGAUAUUUUUCCUAUUGAACUGCUGAUAUAGGACCACAGAUCCAUCCCCAAAUGGCUGGAAUAUUUCAAGCAUUCAUUCAACACUAUGAUCUCUGUAGAAAAGUAUGCCAGGAUGUGUUUCAGGAUCCAUAUCAAUACGGCCCUGAAGAUCCACAGAAAUGGUGUUCUAGUUCUUGGAGAUUCUUCUGUGGGAUACAUCACCACCCGCCAAUUCUCCUUGGCAAGCUUCCUGAACCACAUUUUUUUAAGACCGAAUCCAGAAGUUUCUCUGGGAUACCAAGCAAGCAAGAAUAUCUUGUGAAGAUAGAGAAGAAAGAAACUACAAACCUGGAAACCUGGAACCCAGAACCCCUCCAACAUUUCAUGAUAAACUGUAGAGGGUCCAAAAGCCAAUAAAGUGACUGUGUUUUCUAUCAAGACAA